rnacentral:lncRNA from 1 species
GAGACUCUCGGGGGAAAAAAAAAAAAGAAAAAGAAAGAAAGGAAGCUGUAGCAAAUGCUUCUCCUGUGAAACCCCCAGAAGAUGUCAGGCUCUGAAGUGGGCUGCUGUUUGUGGCUUUUCUCCCUCUGCUGUUCUUCGAGUCUGUUUCUGUGCAUCCUGUCCCUAGAGAGAAGCCAAGGGCAUAUGUCACCAGAAAAUAGCUGCAGGGCCAGAGUCUUACACAAGGAUUUGGAUACGGAACAGGCUUGGACAGACAAGGAGAAGACUGUUGCAGACAUAGGGCAGUGAGCAAGGACACCCACAGCCACAGGGAGGAUAGGAACAAAGGACUGAGUCUCACGACAAGCCCGGCUAGGUCAGGCAGAACUGGAGAAGUCAGGAGGGGAAAACAGUCGGGGCCCCUGCAGCUAAGAGUGAGAUGUGGAGUGUGAGAGGAAGGUGAAUAGAAUGGAACGAAGGGGUUUUGCUGCUGCUUUAAAAAUUCCUGUCACAUUUUAUUUUAGAUUCAAGAGGUACAUAUGCAUGUUUGUUACAUGGGAACAUUGCAUACUGGUGGGACUGGGCUUCCAGGACACCCAUUAUAACUUUGCUUCUUAUACACAGCUUUACUCUGAACUAUUUUGAACGUGGUGGGAACAAAGCCUGUUUGAAAGUGAUUUUUCUCUGAGGCCAGGGCAGGAUGGCGGGACGGGGGAGGCGUUGGGGUGGGGGUGAUGGCUCACAGCUCAGAGAGCACUCCAACUUGGAGAUAAGUGGAGGCAGAAGGUCAGGGAUGAUUCCUUGGAAGUCCAAAGAACUGCUUAUUUGCCUCCUGAGGGGAAUUAACAUGAGAAAUCACAGAGAACUCUUGAGGCUACACUGGUCCUUUCGUAAUGCUGAAAUAGAUCAGUCGCUGCCAGGUUUCCAUUAAAGGAAGAUCCUUUUCAUCCAAAUUUUAAUUAUAGAGGCCAGGUGCAGUGGCUCACACCUGUAAUCCCAGCACUUUGGGAGGCCAAGGAGGGCAGGUCUGGAGAUCGAGACCACCCUGGCCAACAUGGUGAAACCCCAUCUCUACUAAAAAUACAAAAAUUAGCUGGGAGUGGUGGUGGGUGCCUAUCAUCCCAGCUACUCAGGAGACUGAGGUAUAAGAAUCUCUUGAACCUGGGAGGCAGCAGAGGUUGCAGUGAGCCUAGAUUGGGCCACUGCACUCCAGCCUGGGCAACAGAGGGAGACUCUGUCUCAAAAAAAAAAA